rnacentral:rRNA from 1 species
UACGAAGGGUGCUAGCGUUGUUCGGAAUUACUGGGCGUAAAGCGCGCGUAGGCGGCUUUUCAAGUCAGGGGUGAAAUCCCACGGCUCAACCGUGGAAUUGCCUUUGAAACUGUGAGGCUAGAGUGUCGGAGGGGAUAGCGGAAUUGCUAAUGUAGAGGUGAAAUUCGUAGAUAUUAGCAGGAACACCGGUGGCGAAGGCGGCUAUCUGGACGACAACUGACGCUGAGGCGCGAAAGCGUGGGGAUCAAACAGG